UCUUUUCCGUGUUAACUCAAAUAAAGCAUAAUCUCUCCAUCUUCCUCGCGAUUUCUUCUACCGUUGUGCGAUAACGAGUUUUUCACACUUUCAAUGGCGAGUCCAAGUGCUGUAUAUGAAAAUAGGAAAUCAGAUGACCUUGAAAUCGUCUCCGUUGGGGCUCUUUAUAGCGGCUCCUGUGAUAAGAAGUACGGGAGUUCAUCUAGGGGAAAAAAUCAUUUCCCUUAUCCUGUGGGCUAUAAAGCUGUUUGAGCUCACAAUGGGAGCACAUAUUAUAUGGAGAUUGAAGAGGGUGCUAAAGUACCUUUGUUUCUGGUAUGUUGCUGAUUCCCUUUAAAUCUUAUAUAAGGUUGUGCAUACGUUUUUCUUAGAAUGGAGCAGAGUCUUACUUUUCGGGUAUGUUGCUGAUUCCCUUUAAAUCUUAUAUAAGGUAGUGCAUACGUUUUUUUUAGAAUGGAGCAGAGUCUUACUCUAUUGAUGCUGAUACUCCCGACACAAGUUUGGUAAGGAAUCAGUAAUAUUUAAUUAGAUUUUAAGUUUAUUUUAAAUGUUGCAGGAUCAUGUGUUGAGAAUCUCUUUUACUGACCCUUUUUAUUACAAUUUAACAAGAAAUCGCUAUCGCAAGAUCAUGUGUUGAGAAUCUGAAUAUAUUAUACAAAUCAUUAGUUUUAAUCCCCUUUACGGGGCUUUAUAGCGCGCAAGAUAAGGGAAACGAUAUUUUCCCUGAUGAUUACUGGAGUAUUAAAAAGGAUCUCCACCUAUAAAAGGCCGGUUGCUGUUCUUCCACUGUAGAUGUGCAGUUACUCAGAUUCUGGGAAGUUGAUGGGAGUUGUGGAUUCCUUUUCAGUCAAGUCUGUAAUGGAAUUUGUGUCCUCAUGUUAAACUGAUUGUCAUCUAUAGACUGUCAUAACUGUUUUUAUGAUCCAGUUCUUCAUGAUUCUAAAAAAAUGUAGCCUUUUAUAUCUACAUGUGCUUGAAUACGACGGUCUGGUACAUAACAUCGUUCUAGCUUUGUUCUCCCAAGUUAUCUCCUUAUAAAAUACUGAGCAAUUGAAUCUGACAGUAUUGUGAUCAUCUUUCUAGCUCCAACUCUGCUUUGAUUCUAUGGAAAACCGUUUCAUGUGCAGCUCUUCGCACCAGCAAGAGAGGAAUGGCUGUGGCUACACAUGCCGAGCUACUUGCUGCGGAGAACGAGCUACUCGCUGUGGAAGGCACCUCAGUCAUGAAAGGUGCAGUGUAGCUACAGCUAUGGUUGCAAUAAAACAUCACACAUGAAACAAGCCAGAGUGAUCAAAAUUCCAAAAGCAUAAUACUUCGAAAUCCUGGAGUAAUCAUAAAAAUUAUUGUGCUUUUGUUUGGUGUUUAUAGAAAUAGAUGUCAUAUGCAACUGAUGCCAAUAUUAUAGUAUUUUAGAUCACUUAUAAUUAAUAAUAUUUAUUUGGUUUCUACUGCA